CCUACGUGGUGCUGCAGUGGGGAAUAUUGGACAAUGGGCGAAAGCCUGAUCCAGCCAUGCCGCGUGUGUGAAGAAGGCCUUCGGGUUGUAAAGCACUUUCAGUGGGGAAGAAAGCCUUGGGGCUAAUACCCUCGAGGAAGGACAUCACCCACAGAAGAAGCACCGGCUAACUCCGUGCCAGCAGCCGCGGUAAUACGGAGGGUGCGAGCGUUAAUCGGAAUUACUGGGCGGAAAGCGCGCGUAGGCGGUCUGAUAAGCGGGUUGUGAAAGCCCCGGGCUCAACCUGGGAACGGCAUCCGGAACUGUCAGGCUAGAGGGCAGGAGAGGAAGGUAGAAUUCCCGGUGUAGCGGUGAAAUGCGUAGAGAUCGGGAGGAAUACCAGUGGCGAAGGCGGCCUUCUGGACUGACACUGACGCUGAGGUGCGAAAGCGUGGGUAGCAAACAGGAUUAGAUACCCGAGUAGUC
rnacentral:rRNA from 1 species